CAGAGAUGGAUUGGUGCCUUCGGGAACUCUGAGACAGGUGCUGCAUGGCUGUCGUCAGCUCGUGUUGUGAAAUGUUGGGUUAAGUCCCGCAACGAGCGCAACCCUUAUCCUUGUUUGCCAGCGAGUAAUGUCGGGAACUCCAGGGAGACUGCCGGUGAUAAACCGGAGGAAGGUGGGGACGACGUCAAGUCAUCAUGGCCCUUACGAGUAGGGCUACACACGUGCUACAAUGGCGCAUACAGAGGGCAGCCAACUUGCGAAAG
rnacentral:rRNA from 1 species